rnacentral:lncRNA from 1 species
GCAGGGGACAAUUCCCGGCAGCAGCGGAGGCUCGCUGGGAGCCGGGAAGAGCAGCAGAGGCUGCCCGGAGCCCGUCUGUCAGCGGCACUCCAGCCAGGCUGAUAACCUUGACAGAGCCACUUGCAAGAUUACAGCCCAAGGAUUUCCUACAAGCACAUCCAGAGAGGAAGGACUAAGUACCAAGACUAAUACUUUUCAUCUUUGGUUGCUGCCAGUGCUGUGAGCUUAACUGAAAAUUUAGGGCACGCAGAGACACGAUCACACUGUCACAGUGACUGACAAAAGCAAACCCUUUCCUGUAGCACUAAUUAUUUCAGCUGAAAGGGGCACAAACAUCUUUAAGAAUUUAGAUAUACAUGUGACAAGAGGCAUUUUUUCCCCCUAAUUUCUUCACUGUUACUGAAGACUGUAUUGCAGAAUCUAACUGGCUCUGCCUACCUGGCAAGGGUACCCUGAGCAUCAGCACCGCUCCAGACUGCUGCGAGCCUGCAGGAGCAGCACGACACCUGAACAGCCUGUAUCCUUCCAUUCCACACACAGGAACCAGCUCCAGCUAGGCUCAGUGCUGCAAUUCAGCAUGUUAUCUGAUCACACUUCACACACAAUGACACACGGCUCAUAAACGUACUCCUUCCAUUAGGAACACCUCAUGUUGUGAAAUGCCACAGUUAGGUUUUAGGCAUCGGCUUCAAUGCAGCUGCCUUCACCCAACAGCAAGAAGCCUCUGGGCUCCAAAGAUACUGUCCCCUGAGAGGGACCAGAAACACACCUGAAGUACCUGAUGAGCCAAAAAAUUCAGAGACACUCCAGGUUACAUGACAGCAGAUCCCAGAGUCUUUAGAAUUCCGCUUGUGCCCACAUUGUGAUGGCCAUGUGUCUGUCACACACCCAUCCCUGCUAUCCUCCAUACACAUUCCAAUGGUAUUCCUGCAGUUAGUACUCUCUGCACAGGACAGAGGUUACGCAGGAAAAGGCACAGCUGAAAGCCCAAGACAGCCAAAGAGCCAGGACAAGCUGAGACUGACUUGUGUAGCCGACGCUUUAAGGAGCUGAAGGCAGAGCCAAGCCAUACAGGAGAGUGGCAAACGUGGAGGAGAUCCCGAACUCCAGUGGCAACACCCAGCUGGGCUGUCGGGAGCAGCCAUCUCCUGCAUUGCACAAGAGCAGCGCUCAGGCCAGCCCCUCCAGUAGCUCAGCACACCAGGUCACUCCUGCAGCAGGCCCAGCCAGGCAGCCAAGGCAGUGUUUGGGAAGCUGGUGAGCUCCCACUCCAGUCCCUGGGAAGACACGGCUGGUUUCUCUCCGUGGCUCAGCUGAGCUGCUGCGGGCAGCGCUCAUUCACCCUCCGGACACGCCGACCCCAGCGCUGCCAUCCCAGGCCAGGCAAAGCACGGCUGCUGUGUCCUGCACCGUGCCAGAGCACGUCUGCUUUCAGCAUCUGCGUCCCCACCUCGCUCAGCCGCUCCUUCAGACAGGUUCUCAGGAACCGCAGCUCCCAAAUCCCACGGGGAGGUUUCCCAGCGCUGCAUUCGCCUCUGACAGCCGUCACAAACCCGGCUGUGAUCCAGGAGGCAGCCACUCCUGCACACGCUGCAGCUGAGGGGCACGAGACAAUACUCACAUUUACACCUUCAUUUCAAACCUUCCAUGGCCAAAGCACUUCCAAGAAGAGCAUCUGCACUCUUGCCACCGAAUUAUAG